GACGAACGCUGGCGGCGUGCCUAACACAUGCAAGUCGAGCGAAGUAAGGGAGCUUGCUCUCUUACUGAGCGGCGGACGGGUGAGUAACACGUGGGUAAUCUGCCCUUAAGAGAGGGAUAACACGGAGAAAUCCGUGCUAAUACCUCAUAACCCAAUGCUUCCGCAUGGAAGUACUGGUAAAGGAGUAAUCCGCUUAAGGAUGAGCCCGCGGCCCAUUAGUUAGUUGGUGAGGUAAAGGCGUACCAAGGCGACGAUGGGUAGCCGAUCGAAGAGGAUGAACGGCCACAUUGGAACUGAGAAACGGUCCAGACUCCUACGGGAGGCAGCAGUGGGGAAUAUUGCACAAUGGGGGAAACCUUGAUGCAGCAACGCCGCGUGAGUGACGAAGGUCUUCGGAUUGUAAAGCUCUGUCUUCACUGACGAUAAUGACGGUAAGUGAGGAGGAAGCCACGGCUAACUACGUGCCAGCCGCCGCAGUAAGAC
rnacentral:rRNA from 1 species